rnacentral:rRNA from 1 species
ACCAGACUCCUACGGGAGGCAGCAGUGGGGGAUAUUGCACAAUGGGGGGAACCCUGAUGCAGCGACGCCGCGUGGGUGAAGAAGUAUUUCGGUAUGUAAAGCCCUAUCGGCAGGGAAGAAAUUGGACGGUACCUGACUAAGAAGCCCUGGCUAACUACGUGCCAGCAGCCGCGGUAAUACGUAGGGGGCAAGCGUUAUCCGGAUUUACUGGGUGUAAAGGGGGCGUAGACGGCGGAACAAGUCAGAAGUGAAAACCCGGGGCUCAACCCUGGGAGUGCUUUUGAAACUGUUUGGCUGGAGUGCAGGAGAGGUAAGCGGAAUUCCUAGUGUAGCGGUGAAAUGCGUAGAUAUUAGGAGGAACACCAGUGGCGAAGGCGGCUUACUGGACUGUAACUGACGUUGAGGCUCGAAAGCGUGGGGAGCAAACAGGAUUAGAUACCCGUGUA